GAUUAACGCUGGCGGCGUGCUUAACACAUGCAAGUCGAACGAUGAAGCCUAGCUUGCUAGGUGGAUUAGUGGCGAACGGGUGAGUAAUACGUGAGUGACCUACCUUUGACUCUGGGAUAAGCCUGGGAAACUGGGUCUAAUACCGGAUACGACCAAUCUCUGCAUGGGGUGUUGGUGGAAGGCGUUAUGGAGUGGUUUUAGAUGGGCUCACGGCCUAUCAGCUUGUUGGUGAGGUAAUGGCUUACCAAGGCGACGACGGGUAGCCGGCCUGAGAGGGUGACCGGCCACACUGGGACUGAGACACGGCCCAGACUCCUACGGGAGGCAGCAGUGGGGAAUAUUGCACAAUGGGCGCAAGCCUGAUGCAGCGACGCCGCGUGGGGGAUGACGGCCUUCGGGUUGUAAACCUCUGUUAGCAUCGAAGAAGCGAAAGUGACGGUAGGUGCAGAGAAAGCGCCGGCUAACUACGUGCCAGCAGCCGCGGUAAUACGUAGGGCGCGAGCGUUGUCCGGAAUUAUUGGGCGUAAAGAGCUUGUAGGCGGUUGGUCGCGUCUGCUGUGAAGGCCGGGGCUUAACUCCGGUUUUGCAGUGGGUACGGGCUAACUAGAGUGCAGUAGGGGAGACUGGAAUUCCUGGUGUAGCGGUGGAAUGCACAGAUAUCAGGAGGAACACCGAUGGCGAAGGCAGGUCUCUGGGCUGUAACUGACGCUGAGAAGCGAAAGCAUGGGGAGCGAACAGGAUUAGAUACCCUGGUAGUCCAUGCCGUAAACGUUGGGCACUAGGUGUGGGGGACAUUCCACGUUUUCCGCGCCGUAGCUAACGCAUUAAGUGCCCCGCCUGGGGAGUACGGCCGCAAGGCUAAAACUCAAAGGAAUUGACGGGGGCCCGCACAAGCGGCGGAGCAUGCGGAUUAAUUCGAUGCAACGCGAAGUACCUUACCAAGGCUUGACAUGCAUUAGAUCGCGUCAGAGAUGGCGUUUCCCUUCGGGGCUGGUGUACAGGUGGUGCAUGGUUGUCGUCAGCUCGUGUCGUGAGAUGUUGGGCUAAGUCCCGCAACGAGCGCAACCCUCGUUCUAUGAUGCCAGCGGUUCGGCCGGGGACUCAUAGGAGACUGCCGGGGUUAACUCGGAGGAAGGUGGGGAUGACGUCAAAUCAUCAUGCCCCUUAUGUCUUGGGCUUCACGCAUGCUACAAUGGCCGGUACAGAGGGUUGCGAUACUGUGAGGUGGAGCUAAUCCCUUAAAGCCGGUCUCAGUUCGGAUUGGGGUCUGCAACUCGACCCCAUGAAGUCGGAGUCGCUAGUAAUCGCAGAUCAGCAACGCUGCGGUGAAUACGUCCCCGGGCCU
rnacentral:rRNA from 1 species